UGUGCAUCAUCGCCUGCCAAAAAAGGGAGCAAAAAGGGGACUACCUGAUGUAUGGACAUGUAUACCAGGCCAACUUGAGGGGAACAGGAGUGGGAAACCGUGCCCUGUAGCUUGUCCUUGACCAAGAAAAGAUGGAUUUGUUGAGAGGACCUGAUCUCAAAUGAGAUCAUGCACGAGAAGCGCCUCGCAGACCAUGACAGUAGUAUUCAGACCUGAUCAGCUGGUGAAGUGCUCUAUAAGGGUUGUUUAUGAAUGCAUUCUUUGUAAGGAACAGUGUAUAACAACAAAUAUAGUGACAGGGGCUAAGCUGCUAAAUAUUGUCAGCAUGUAUGCAGUGAUUUUCUUUGGAAAUUCAAAACAACCUGUACGUACUGGCUCUCAGAAGGGCAUGUUUUAGCGCAAUAAUGAACAAAAAAAGGAAGAUCUUAAAAAUAAGGUAUAGAUUUAUAUAAAUUUCAUGAAUACUGUUCAUUUAUCAUAUAUUAGGAUCCAGAAUAUGAUUGAAUUAAAUGUACUGCUUUUGUCCAUAUUAAAAAGGAAUUAAUGUAAUAUAUAAAAAUCUAGUAAAUGAUAGGGAAAACAUUUCAGCUUAAGGAGGGGAAAUCUUUAAUAUUUUUGAAGUGGAAACCACCUGUAUUUGGCUGUUAAUCAGUUACCGAUAAUCAGGGGGGAGAAAAAUCACUGGUAUGAGCUUGAUAUUUUCAAUUGUUAAUUCCAGAUAGGCAAUAGCCCGUUUGAAUCCUCUCUUUUAUGUAGAUAUGUAACAUUUGUUUUUGUUUUUUAAGGUUUAACAUUCUAAUAAAAGUGUGUAUUUAUCUAUUGAAUUGUACUUUUUGUUUUUUAUGUAUGUGUUUACACUAACCUUUCAUUUAAAGAAUGAA